UUCCGGUUGAUCCUGCCGGACCCGACUGCUAUUUGGGUGAGGAUAAGCCAUGCGAGUUGAAUGGGAAACCUAAAGUUCCCAUGGCAAACUGCUCAGUAACACAUGAUCAACUUACCCUAUAGAGAAAAAUAACCUCGGGAAACUGAGGAUAAUGUUUCAUAGUUGAAUUGGCUUGGAAAAGUUUUUCGACGAAAGGGGUAAAAAAAAUGGUUUUUAUCUGCUAUAGGAUAGGAUCGUGUUCGAUUAUGGUUGUUGGUGAGGUAAUGGCUCACCAAGCCGAUAAUCGAUAGGGGCCGUGAGAGCGGGAGCCCCGAGAUGGGUACUGAGACAACGACCCAGGCCUUACGAGGCGCAGCAGGCGCGAAACCUCCGCAAUACACGAAAGUGUGACGGGGUUACCCAAAGUGUUCAAUUUUGAACUGUGGUAGGUGAGUAAUGUUCCCUACUAGAAAGGAGAGGGCAAGGCUGGUGCCAGCCGCCGCGGUAAAACCAGCUCUUCAAGUGGUCGGGAUAAUUAUUGGGCUUAAAGUGUCCGUAGCCGGUUUAGUAAGUUCCUGGUAAAAUCGGGUAGCUUAACUAUCUAUAUGCUAGGAAUACUACUAUACUAGAGGGCGGGAGAGGUCUGAGGUACUACAGGGGUAGGGGUGAAAUCUUAUAAUCCUUGUUGGACCACCAGUGGCGAAGGCGUCAGACUGGAACGCGCCUGACGGUGAGGGACGAAAGCCAGGGGAGCGAACCGGAUUAGAUACCCGGGUAGUCCUGGCCGUAAACGAUGCAUACUAGGUGAUGGCACGGCCAUGAGCCGUGUCAGUGCCGUAGGGAAACCGUUAAGUGUGCCGCCUGGGAAGUACGGUCGCAAGGCUAAAACUUAAAGGAAUUGGCGGGGGAGCACCACAAGGGGUGAAGCCUGCGGUUCAAUUGGAUUCAACGCCGGG
rnacentral:rRNA from 1 species